GCGCCGGGGAGGCUGGGGCGGGCAGGACGCCGGCGACAAGCGCGGCACAAGCGGGGACGGCCGCACCCGCGCAAGAGACUGAGCUAUCCUUUCAGGGACAUUCAGGAGUCUCUGGGGACUCUGUAGCAGCGUGCGGGCCGGUCUUGUGGUCCCGGUGAGAGCCCCGCAGCUCAUGGCUCUGUCCAGGGAGUUUUCAUGAUACGUUUGGAGCCCAAAGAGAGAAGGCUGCUGAGGAUAUUGCCGGUUCACUGUCGUCAACAGUUAUCCAGAACAGUGACGCACAAGCGUUGGAGAAAGCCUAAGAAUUCUGCAGGUGCGCUUCGUGAGAGGAAGUCUCUAGUCAGUUUGUGUGUGCUUGUCUUCUUUUGGCUCUCGAUUGUUUAGAAGAUUGGAAAGAAAACCAUUUAGGAAACGUGGACUGAUUUGGAACUUUUAAUCUUUGCCUAACAAAUUUAACUAGAAACACCAUUUGCUGAUACAAAGCUAAUUUAAAAAAUAAGAUGGAUGGAUGGAGGGAUGGAGAGAUGAUAGACUAAAAAUAGACUUGUGAUAAAGCAGGUGUGCUGGCAUGUUAACCGUAGAGCCUGUGCGAUGCUGUUCACAAAAUUCAGCAUUUCUGUGUUUGAAGUUUGAAAGUUUUCAUGAUAAAGUGUU